CUGUUUAAUAAAGAAUGAUAUGUCAAUGCUGCUCUUUGAGUGUUUUGUUGCACACUAAAUGGCAGCCCCAUGCACAGGUUAGGACAAUUAUUUCACAAUAUAUAGCCCAAGGCUGAUUAUAUGAUUAUGUUAUAGUACAAAUGGUUCUAAUGCUUCAGUAACAAAUCAUUCUCAUCAAUAUAUGACAGUGAAAAGACAAAGUUGAGUAGCUGGGAACAAAGCGCUUUUAUCCAGUCUAGGUCAUAGUCAACAUGGGAAAAAUCUCAAACGUUCCCUGUACUAAUCCAAGUUAUAAAAGUGUAACAGAGACUGUGGCUGCUUCUAAAUUAUGUCUUAUCUGAGUUUAGC